rnacentral:rRNA from 1 species
GGACGAACGCUGGCGGCGUGCCUAACACAUGCAAGUCGAACGGACUGAUCCCUUCGGGGAUGAAAGUUAGUGGCGGACGGGUGAGUAACGCGUGAGCAACCUGCCUUUCAGAGGGGAAUAACGUUUGGAAACAGACGCUAAUACCGCAUAACGCAUAGGUGUCGCAUGGCAUUUAUGCCAAAGGAGCAAUCCGCUGAAAGAUGGGCUCGCGUCCGAUUAGAUAGUUGUGGGGUAACGGCCUACCAAGUCGACGAUCGGUAGCCGGACUGAGAGGUUGAACGGCCACAUUGGGACUGAGACACGGCCCAGACUCCUACGGGAGGCAGCAGUGGGGGAUAUUGCACAAUGGGCGGAAGCCUGAAUGCAGCAACGCCGCGUGAGGGAAGACGGUUUUCGGAUUGUAAACCUCUGUCUUUGGUGACGAAGAAAUGACGGUAGCCGAGGAGGAAGCCACGGCUAACUACGUGCCAGCAGCCGC